ACCCAUUAACCGUCGCGCAAGGGGGAGCAAAGAGCUAUGCCAUGUCGGGAGAUUUUACUGUCACAGGGAUUGGGAUCACAAGGUAAAUUCCCCAUGAAGGUAGCCCACUCACGCGACCUCCCCUCUCUCUCGUUUCCUCUCCCAUGUAGCCCGCCGCCGCUAGCGUCGCCAGCGGAAGAGGAACGGGCCGCGCUCUCCCACGCAGCCACGCCAACGUCGUCACGCCUUGUGGGAGGAGAAGGUGACGACGACGACGGUUCGAUCUGUGGUCUGCCUCGGCAUGGCAUGGGAGGCAACGGAUCGAUCCGGUCAACCCAGCGUCGUCACGCUCAAGGCCGUCCGCGGCAGCUGCAAAUUGAGGCGGCGACUACAAAUCGAAGGAGCUGAAAGGGACAGACUACCGGGAAGUCAGGGGCUACAUAUCCCUCCUCUCCUUGAUUUUCUCUCCAAAAUCAGAGGUAGAGAUGCUGAUGACUACAAAACUGUGCAAUCUUGGCCACCGGUUCCUCCUCGAGCUCCGAACACCUCUUCGUGCGCGGCGACCGAUGCAGCGUCACCUCCAUUGCCGUCACCAUCUUCCCAGCCGUGGCGUCCAGGAGCUCGUCGUCGUCCUCGUUCGACGCCUCCGCCUUUGAGGCCAAGAGGCUCUGCCUCGAUGCCGACGCGCGGGCCGACACCGCCGUGAGGCCGAGGGCAUCACACGCAACCCCCGCCACAUCCACCACCGCAUCUCUAACUUCGAUGUCGCAAUCGUCACUGCCGAUUUGAAAAGGAGGAUAACAAUGCGCCGCUUCAUCACUGAGUUACGGAGGUUGGGCGUGUUGACGGAUGCACAAUGCGUGAAGGUCAUGUUAAAUACUGAGGAAUUCUUUGACAGACCCUAUAGCAAUGUGGCAUCUGCGGAUGGAGAUUGCUAGCAAUUCUACUGGUGGUUGAUUUUGGCGGGUGGUACAAACUUGAUUCAAAAUCUGCAGGCAGCAACUCUUCUCAUAUGAUAGAACACUCUCAAGUAUCAUUGCUGAAAGAUGUCAUUGUACCUUACACACAUUUGCUCCCUACCAUGCACCUAUCAGAAAAUAUGGAUUGCCCCACUCUUCUGUACUUGAAGGGAGCCAAACACAGACAUCAGGGUGGUUUGUUGCGUGAAAAACUGUGGGACUUGAUGGUUAAUGAGCCUGAUGUUAUCAUGGAAGAAGGUUUUCCUAAUGCCACACGACAUGGGCAAUCAAUUAAAGGGAUGCGGGCAGUGGCGUAGGCAGCCCUGAGCCACGCCCCGGGCCAAUAGUCAGUGCUACAGUAGCUACAGUAGCUAAACUGCUACAAUUACCAAAAGAUAUCAGCCACACGCCCCGGGCCAUGGCCCCCCUAGCCUGGGGCCUGUCUACGCCACUGGAUGCGGGUAUCAGAGUUGGCCGAUGCAACAUCACCGAUUUGGAAGGAGGGGUGCAAAUCUGAGGAUGGAUUGAUGAUAUAGUUUUUAAACUGUGCUUGCUGAUAAGAACUACUCUACAUGUUUUUUACAGGUUAAUUGUGAGGAUGUUGUGCUUUAGAGAAAUGAUUUGCAUGUUGCAAGCUUGUAUUUCUAUAUAGCAAGCCACAUGGCGCUAGCAACUCGAUCUGCCAUACCUAGGUCGACGAUGCGGCAGCCUCCAUUGCUGUGUCCGGAGGCGAGGAGGGGGAGCAGCCGCUCCCGGACGAGGUCGUCUUCGGCACCUAGAUCCUCUUCAUCAAUCUUUCCCACCUGGACGAACGCACCAUCACCUCUUCAGAUCACAUCACCCUCUUUCUUUCCUUUUCUCUUCAUUCCUCUCUGUUCCUCUUACGUUUCUCUCCUUGGACCACUCCAGAAGGUGUCAAUUUGUACUAUUUUUUCUUGUUGCCUUGUACAAUCUGUCAAUCAUACACUCCUGACCUGUAUGUAUGUGCUGGCUGAUUAAUUUGUGCAAUACAAAGGACAUAUUUAACACAAUACAAGAGGCCAUGGCAGACCAAUCUUGCAAUUUCACCUUCCAUUUGAUAUCUCUGCUCUAAGAUAAGAUAUGACACACAUCUGCUUGGAAAUGGAGGCGGUUUCGUCUUGGUCUGUGUCUUUGUCAUCCGGCAAGUGUCUAGAUUUCUUUUAAUUUCUUGAGUAUUUUUCUUUUAAAAGCCGAAGUGCAGUGUCAUUCCGUUGAGGAGGUUAGCUCUUUUGCUCUUCACAAGUUUCUGCUGAUAUUUGACUAACGUGGUACUAUGAUUCGGCACUAUCAUUUUUGUUUGACUUAUAUACUUCCAUGUUUUUCCUUGUCAGAAACAUUCAAGCCACUGUAACAUGUUUCGUAAGCAAGACCUUAAAUCGUGUUUCUGGAUCUGUCUCAACAAGGAUAUGAAAGAAUUACCAUCACUAUAGCUGGAUAUCAUACAUGAUAUUGGGGAUACAUACUUGCUAUGGUUUUCCCAUUAUAAGGGGAGCACGUCCAGCUAUCGUACGAGAAGAAGUGCGCGCAGCCAAGGACCCAGGAUGCCAGUGGUGUGCAGCCGUUCGCAUCGAGAGGACCAAGGCUGCCAUCAGGGACCUCCGAACCAAGCUCGACAUCUCCGCCGCCUCAUUGACUUCUGCGACGACUCAUCUCAAUGUACAUGUAUUUAUUAUAGUGUGCUCGAUCUGUCCCCCCAAAAACCCUGAUGCUGCCUGUGUUUGAUCAAUGUUUCGUAUUUCGGUGUUGUAUGUACAUGCUGGCAAAGAUGUGGCGAGUCAUUGGCGACGUGCACCGGGUGAUGAAGCGCACAACAAAUGAGGUUGAGGUGAGGCAUCAGAGGCAUGCCAGCCAACAUGUGAGGCAAUUCCUAUUGUUGUAUCUUCUGUCGCCAUGCGGCUAGAUGCUUCUGUCGAUUGAUGGCAUUUUAGUUUCUUUCUCACGUGGUGCAUCAGUAUAAUAAGUUUAUGAAAAAUUGCAUGUAUGUGUUAUCUAGACCCAAAAGAAAAAUUGAAGGGGCGUUUGCACUGCUCAGUACAUUCUCUGAAUAUGUUGCAUUUGCA